GGUGUGUUUUUUUGUUUAUCUAUAUAGAUUUUGUGCAAAAAAACGACAUCGAGAUUUUUGAAAUCAAAACAAUUUACGUGUUAAAUACAACAAAAACUUUAUCUGUAUAGAUUUUUGAAAAAUCCAGAUAAUUAUCCAGAUUUUACUUUCUCUCGAUAGAAAACAGUACUGCCAAGAUAUACGACAAAAAAAUAAUAUUAUUUAAAUCAAUUAGGAAAAACAAACAACACAAAUCAAUGAUUCACGGGUGCAAUAUCUUCCGCCGAAAAGAAAAUAUUUUAUAACAUUAGGUACAGCUCAAAGGAAUCGAUUUCCCAAAAUGUUAUCUAGUUGUUGGAUGGAUAGAGCUAGAGUCACACAGGCAUACCACGCCAUAUAAGUGGCACCCAAUUUCGCACAAGAACAAUUUAGUUGCAGUUCCGAUGUGAAAAUUCUUAAUCCCGAAGUUAUAGCUUGCUCACUUGCCGCAAGUGUAGUUGAACUUCCAAAGAGCAUUGUUGAAAGUAAUCGUAUAUCAAUCAUCAACUGAAAAUCAAUCAAUAGACCUAUCGGAAACUUUAAUCCAACAAUUUAUUCGAUUCAAAAUCGAAAAAAAAGAGACUCAGGAAGAAAACUUGGAGAAUUGUUCCAAUAGCCAAAUUAAUAAAAUUAGUCCUAACGUAAGUGUUGAUGAUGAAUUGAAACCCAUAACCUACGGCGGAAGGUAAAAAAUUUACAAAUUGCAUUGAAGCGCAAAAACUCUUACCAAAGCUGCUAAUUGGUGCUGCAGUCGAUCUAUCAACGGCAAUCGCUCUCAUAAAUAAAUAGUGUGCCAAAUUACCCAGUGAUACAUUCACCAAACUAACUCCAUUAUCGAGAUAUGCAAAGACAAAGCGUUGUGGCAAAGAUAUUGUAUCAAUAUACACUUCAUUUGCCUAUAAAUUCGUUUUUAAAAUAUGACAUAAUGUUUAAUAGAAAGCACCGUUUUUAUCCAUUUGAUUUAAUUUUUUCUUUGAAGGGACUACCAGUGCCAACGGAAAUCCUUGCAAGACGAAUGGUUACCCGUUCAGGCAUGUCGAGAGUUGCAUAUGUAUGGAGAACUGGACAACACCUUGCACACAAUUGGGAAAGAAGGAUUUAAAGUACUGCGAGUCUCAUUGGGAGGAAAAAAUUGACGAUCAAGUUGUUAAAGAUAGCGAAGAACCACGACCUAGUACAACCAAACAUCAACAAUAAUAUUACAAACGAUUUUGUAAUUGUCGACUUACUGCUGGUGCUGUAUUCUAUUUGUACUACAUUAAUCUAACCCUCCGAUGUUGAUUAAACCGAAAAUUGUGUCUUCAAUGUUCCCACAAUAAAAACUAGAAAAAGUGCAAUUGUCAUUGAUUGGGAUUUCCUAUAGGUUAUUGCAAUGACCAGUGACACCACCAUGGGCUUCAUAACACAACUUUGUUUUGUUUAGAUAAAUUUAGCUUUUUUUUUUUUAUUUUUUUCCAAUAAAAAAUAAUAGCUGUGGUACAUUUUAAGCCUUUUGAAUUUUAAAAAUAAAAAAUGUAUACACUUGCAUAAA